rnacentral:rRNA from 1 species
UACGGAGGAUGCAAGCGUUAUCCGGAAUGAUUGGGCGUAAAGCGUCCGCAGGUGGCGAUGUAAGUCUGCUGUUAAAGAGUGAGGCUCAACCUCAUAAGAGCAGUGGAAACUACAUAGCUAGAGUGCGGUAGGGGCAGAGGGAAUUCCUGGUGUAGCGGUGAAAUGCGUAGAGAUCAGGAAGAACACCCGUGGCUAAGGCGGCUCUCUAGUACGGUACUGACGCUGAGACGCGAAAGCGUGGGGAGCGAACAGG